GCUAGGUUGUUCAGGGCCAGUCGACUGCACUCCCCCUGCUGUAAUGUAGGCUAGUCUCGCCAACUCUCGCCUCUUCAGCAUAUUUCAGCAUCACUAGCGCUGCGGGAGGCUGAGUAGGCUAAGAUGCCGGGUGUUACAGUGAAAGACGUCAACCAGCAGGACUUUGUGCGGGCACUUUCUGCUUUCCUCAAAAAGUCGGGCAAACUGAAAGUUCCAGAAUGGGUAGACACAGUGAAGCUGGCAAAACACAAGGAGCUGGCACCCUGUGACGAAAACUGGUUCUACAUUAGAGCAGCAUCCACAGCACGCCACUUGUACCUCAGAGGGGGUGUCGGAGUUGGUGCCAUGAUCAAAAUCUACGGCGGUCGGCACAGAAAUGGAGUGUGCCCAUCCCAUUUCAGUGUGGGCUCACGGAACGUGGCACGCAAAGUGCUGCAAGCGCUGGAGGGCCUCAAGAUGGUGGAGAAGGACCCAAACGGGAAAAUAGCUGCCUGAUAACUGCCCAAAGUGCGUUGCAAGAUGUCCGCCGAGUGGGGGGACUUGCCUAAAAGGACUUUGGUAGGUAGAACCAGCUAAAGUAGUCUACAUCAUCAUCAGAGAUGAGAAACCCGGCUUCAGGACGUAAAAGUCCUACCACAUUUUCCAACCAUUUACUAAACCAGAUUCUCUUUAGCUCAACUCUUCAGCCAGGCAGAUGAGGUAAUUAGUCAAAUUACCUGUUUGAGAUGCACAGGUAGGACCAAUACAUGAGACUUUUACUUUCUGAAGCCGGGUUCUCUGAUCAUCAGCCCCUUGUCAGUCCGUUUUAUCAGUGACCAAUGCUCCAAUUUACAGUAUCUGCAGCAACUUGGAUCCCAUUUUUGUCUACACUAAUUAAGUGGUGCUUGAGUUUAUCCUUCUGGUGGGAUGUUGUAAGCUGCUAUGCUGUGAGUUAGUACAUGGCAGACCUUGGAUUAAGUCAGAGUUUGACAUCUCCUCUUCUACAGGGGCCGCAGACUUACUCCUCAGGGUCAAAGAGAUUUGGACAGAAUUGCUGGACAGGUUGCAGCUGCAAGCAAAAAACAGUGAUGCCUCCAAAAGGGGUUGAAUCGUGGAACUAACCCCGUUGACCUCCUCAAUUCAGAUGUGCAUGAGUGAUGUAACUGGUAUGGAAUUUAGCAUGUAAGAAGAGCUUAUAGUUCAUGGAAAAUAUAACACAGCCAAAUAGACACACACUACACAAGUAAGAUCAGUAAUAUGAUGUUCUGGUCAUACAUUGUUAUGGUUUUGAGUAUGCAAAAUGCUAAGAAAAAUGCCAAAGAAGCAAUGCUAAUCAAUUCUCUGCAAAAACACCAGUAGUCAAAAAUCAAUAAAUCUUGCCAUAAAGACUA